UUCCUGAUGUUUAGUUGAAAUCUCCUUUCUUGCAACUUGAAGCCAUUGGUUCAGGCCCUAUCCUCUAGGAGAAAACAAGCUUGCUUCUACUUCCAUGUGACAGCCCUUGAGUUAUUUGAAGAUGGCUAUCAUAUCUCCUCUCAGUCUCCUCUUUUCCAGGCUAAACAUACCCAGCUCCCUCAA